rnacentral:rRNA from 1 species
UGGGGAAUAUUGGACAAUGGGCGCAAGCCUGAUCCAGCCAUGCCGCGUGAGUGACGAAGGCCCUAGGGUUGUAAAGCUCAUGGUUAAUACCCGUGAGUCUUGACGUAACCUACAGAAGAAGCACCGGCUAACUUCGUGCCAGCAGCCGCGGUAAUACGGAGGGUGCGAGCGUUAAUCGGAAUUACUGGGCGUAAAGCGCGCGUAGGUGGUUCUGUAAGUCGGAUGUGAAAGCCCAGGUCUUAACCUUGGAACUGCAUUCGAUACUGCAGAACUAGAGUAUGGUAGAGGGAAGUGGAAUUUCCGGUGUAGCGGUGAAAUGCGUAGAUAUCGGAAGGAACACCAGUGGCGAAGGCGACUUCCUGGGCCAAUACUGACACUGAGGUGCGAAAGCGUGGGGAGCAAACAGGAUUAGAUACCCCCGUAGUCC